UGCAGUCGAACGGCAGCACGGGAGCUUGCUCCUGGUGGCGAGUGGCGAACGGGUUGAGUAAUAUAUCGGAACGUAUCCAAUAAUGGGGGAUAACUAAUCGAAAGGUUGGCUAAUACCGCAUACGCCCUGAGGGGGAAAGCUGGGGAUCUUCGGACCUAGCGUUAAUGGAGCGGCCGAUAUCUGAUUAGCUAGUUGGUGGGGUAAAGGCCCACCAAGGCGACGAUCAGUAGCUGGUCUGAGAGGACGACCAGCCACACUGGAACUGAGACACGGUCCAGACUCCUACGGGAGGCAGCAGUGGGGAAUUUUGGACAAUGGGCGCAAGCCUGAUCCAGCCAUUCCGCGUGAGUGAAGAAGGCCUUCGGGUCGUAAAGCUCUUUCGCAAGGGAAGAAACGAUUUAGGUGAAUAAUCUAAGUUAAUGACGGUACCUUGAUAAGAAGCACCGGCUAACUACGUGCCAGCAGCCGCGGUAAUACGUAGGGUGCGAGCGUUAAUCGGAAUUACUGGGCGUAAAGCGUGCGCAGGCUGUUUUGUAAGUCAGAUGUGGAAUCCCCGAGCUCAACUUGGGAACUGCGUUUGAAACUACAAGACUAGAAUAGGUCAGAGGGGGGUAGAAUUCCACGUGUAGCAGUGAAAUGCGUAGAGAUGUGGAGGAAUAUCAAUGGCGAAGGCAGCCCCCUGGGAUCAUAUUGACGCUCAUGCACGAAAGCGUGGGGAGCAAACAGGAUUAGAUACCCUGGUAGUCCACGCCCUAAACGAUGUCAACUAGUUGUUUGGUAGAGUAAAAUCUAUGAGUAACGCAGCU
rnacentral:rRNA from 1 species